rnacentral:rRNA from 1 species
AGUGAACGCUGGCGGUAGGCCUAACACAUGCAAGUCGAACGGCAGCACAGUAAGAGCUUGCUCUUACGGGUGGCGAGUGGCGGACGGGUGAGGAAUACAUCGGAAUCUACUUUUUCGUGGGGGAUAACGUAGGGAAACUUACGCUAAUACCGCAUACGACCUACGGGUGAAUGCAGGGGAUCUUCGGACCUUGCGCGGUUGAAUGAGUCGAUGUCGGAUUAGCUAGGUGGCGGGGUAAAGGCCCACCAAGGCGAGGCUCCGUAGCGGGUCUGAGAGGAUGAUCAGCCAGAAUAGAAUUGGGACACGGUCCAGACUCCUACGGGAGGCAGCGGUGGGGAAGAUUGGACAAUGGGCGGAAGCCUGAUCCAGCCAUACCGCGUGGGUGAAGAAGGCCUUCGGGUUGUAAAGCCCUUUUGUUGGGAAAGAAAAGCAGCAGGUUAAUACCCCGCUGUUCUGACGGUACCCAAAGAAUAAGCACCGGCUAACUUCGUG